GUGAGGAAUCUUCCACAAUGGGCGAAAGCCUGAUGGAGCAACGCCGCGUGAAGGAUGAAGGUCUUCGGAUUGUAAACUUCUUUUAUGAGUGAAGAAUAUGACGGUAACUCAUGAAUAAGCACCGGCUAACUACGUGCCAGCAGCCGCGGUCAUACGUAGGGUGCAAGCAUUAUCCGGAGUGACUGGGCGUAAAGAGUUGCGUAGGCGGUUAUGUAAGCGAAUAGUGAAACCUGGUGGCUCAACCACACAGACUAUUAGUCGAACUGCAUAACUCGAGAAUGGUAGAGGUAACUGGAAUUUCUUGUGUAGGAGUGAAAUCCGUAGAUAUAAGAAGGAACACCAAUGGCGUAGGCAGGUUACUGGGCCAUUUCUGACGCUAAGGCACGAAAGCGUGGGGAGCGAACCGGAUUAGAAACCCGGGUAGUCC
rnacentral:rRNA from 1 species